rnacentral:lncRNA from 1 species
ACACAUUUAAAACAUGAAAAGAAAAUAAGUACGAUCGAAUUUCAAACAUGUUUUUACUUCUUUUCAUAUUUUACAAGCGUGUUAGCGAAAAUAUUGCAUCUGAUGUCAACACUAUGAGAAAUAUUUCCAUUUAAGACUGAUUAAGAAACAAACAAACAUUCCUUAUACCGUAACACAUAAUUAGAUAAGAGUCUAAAGAGACUUUAAAACCUAAUCUAUCAUGUGACAUAACAAUGUAAUAAAAAUGUCAUAUUAUAGCUCAUCUAACACCAGUCCGAAUUGCAAUGGAUCCGUCCAAUUAAGCGCAUCAGGUCAUAAAUCCCCCGCUGUCACGACGUAGUGACCUUAAAUUGGAUUAGUGCGAGAGAACAUACAGGCUCUGAUUAAGGACUUUAUUCAGGUAUGUCGGUUCAUAAAGACGCCUGAUGUCGGGACGGUGAAGGCACGUCUACAAGAUAAUGUGGUGUAAACAGAUGGUAAACGUAAUUUCCGGACACAGAUGCGACUUGCAAGGGUCAAAAUCUUUAUAUUAUGAUCUCUAUGUGCAUGCGAAUAUCUUCAGCCGACUUGUAAAAUGUCCAAACAGCUCCAACUGCUACCUAAGAUGAUAACACGGACGAUAAAGGAAUGAAGGGUAUGUCUGCUUCACUACGAUUGACAAAACUUGCACAUCUACUUUCAAGCUGGUGAAAGCACGACUUCAAGAUGUAAACUAAAAAAGAAGAUGGUAAUUUCCGGCCACAAGUGUCAAAAUCUUAAAAUUAGGGUCGAAGAGAAAUAUACGUCUCCUUGCGGUAAACAGAAUACAGCACGGCAUUUUGCUUCAUAUACGUGUUAUUCAAAAGACAACAACAGUUUAAAGCCAAAGGAACCCAAUCUAACAAAUUGUGUCAGUCUUUGGACAUUGGAAAUUCUCCCCUUUGCUGAUGAAAUACCAUCUAUCAUUUAAUGGAUAUUUAACUAGAACAGAACGGAACAGAACAGAACAGAACGGACCAGAACAGAACUCUCAGUCAGCAUUUACAUCUCUGUAAACGGCAUCGAUAUUGCCAUUUAAUUUAUCAUAUAUUUAUCGAUUUAUAACUGGUAUUCUGCGGACUCCGUAAUUGAUACAUUGCCAUUUUCUUGACAAAAUAUUGAUAAAUCAGUUGAUAGACCGAUACCGAAGUUGGAUUUUGCUGUUAUCCGAAUUCAGAAAGCAGCAUAAUACAAUAAGUACAAUGAUUAUCAAGAUUUAUAAAAAAUGUUUCACCUAGAGUUAUUUUGACAUAGGAAAUUCUACACGUCUGACAAACCGGAAGUAAAGGCAUGACGUCAUUUAACCGGAAAUAUAACACAAAACCUGGACUCGGCAUAUGGAUUCUCCUUUUCGUUUGCCUAAUUUUCUUAAAAUAUCUAUGGGUUUGAAAACUUAAGAUUUUCUCAAUUCGAGCAAACAA